rnacentral:rRNA from 1 species
UACGAAGGGGGCUAGCGUUGCUCGGAAUUACUGGGCGUAAAGCGCACGUAGGCGGUCUUUUAAGUCGGGGGUGAAAUCCUGGAGCUCAACUCCAGAACUGCCUUCGAUACUGGAAGACUCGAGUCCGGGAGAGGUGAGUGGAACUGCGAGUGUAGAGGUGAAAUGCGCAGAUAUCAGGAGGAACACCAAUGGCGAAGGCAGCUCGCUGGGACGGUACUGACGCUGAGACGCGAAAGCGUGGGGAGCAAACAGG